UAGUGUCCUGGAAAACGUGUGCUCGGAAACAUGCAGAAUACAGUAUUUACAGAGCCGACCUUGAGGCACCCACUGAUGGAUAAUCUGUUUACCUAAAAACAGCCCACCACAAUCCAUGUUUACCAGCUGUGAAAGUGCAGGCCAAAAAUCUUCCUUCACCUGUGGGCCUCUACCCACAUGUAGAUAAGCAUUUCAGGAGAAACCUGUCUGUGAUCUGCUAAGAUGCACAGAUUCAACUCUGGCCCAUUGUCAUCCCAACACCUCAUCUGCCAUCAGUUUCGUUUAGUGUCGGUCUAUUGCAAAAGUUCUUAUAAACUUUAAAUGAGACUUUGUGUUAAGCAGGGGUUUCCAAACUUUUCAUUCCACAACAUAUUAAGCCCAGGAUACACAGCAGGAUUUUUGCAAUCCAAUAAGACCUUAUCCAUGGAUUAAAGUUUUCCGUCGCUAGACGGAUUUCCGUCAAUUGCAAAAUUAUUAAAUUCACUUUUAAUAAAGACGACGUGUAUUCACCUUUUUUUAAGUUGGAUGUGAUCAAAGCCUGGGGUGGAGCCAAAUCACGUUCCUCUCUCCACUGUAAGCGUUCUGUAAUCACUACGCACCGGAUCCACUCCGGGUUUUCUGGCUGUAUCACGUUAAGCUGAGGUAAAACUUAAUUUCAGCUAGCAUGGACAAACUUGUAAUGCAGAAAGGCUCCGAUGUUUUGGCGAUUGAUAAAGGUGUAAAAGACCAAUGGAGAUUGACUUGGCUUAGCGAAAUGAUGAAGAUUGGCAAGCCUUUCAGUUCGUGGGAUAAGAAAACCAAACCACCAGGUAAUUUACGUGUCUUUGCGAUUAGGGGUCCUGUAUUUUCUCACGUACGUGAUCACCCGCGUCCCGUUUUUGACUGCUAUGCUCAUCAGGCCAGUUGCUGAUACAACAGGUUUGUUAAACUUGUGGGUAAACUUCAUGUGGCGCCACAAGAACCAAGAGGCAGAUGACAUCCACAUCCUGUGAGAGCGAUUUCAGGAAUCAUAAGAGGAGUCUGCUUCCGAAAUGCUCUCGCGGCACUUUGAUGUCAUCCACCUGUCGGUUCUUGCAGUUUCAUUUGCGUGUGGUCUCAAAAAACGUAACAUUUGUACAUAUAUUUAAGCACCGCACUUUAUAAACAAGUGAUAUUAAGCCAUUCAAACACAAACAACAGUGUUAAUGUUAAAUGCUUUCGCUGUUUCUGUGUCAGAGCUGAACACGUAAGCCGCGCAUUCGCUUCUCAUUGUGCUUGUGAGUAUUUUUGCCACUUUAUUGGGCUUAAAUACAAAUAUGUGUCAAAAAUCCCGUCUUUGCAAGUAUCCUCAUAUAAACACGACCAUUUAGGUCUUAGGAGAAAGUAAACAGCAGAACCAUUGCGCAUAAAAUAGCACAUCAGC